GAUCUGCAGAGAUGGAGUAAUGGGAGAGAACGUCUGUCAGUGGACAAAGCACGGUUCUGGAUAAGGGGAUUAAUGGGACCUUUCACGUGAGAGAUGCAGACAGGAGGUUUGUCCUUCCUUCUGCAUGGCUGCUGACAGGAGCAACAUGUAAGAGCCGGCCUCUGGCCAAGCAUGUGGGGACAAGCAGAAACCACUGUACAAUGUUUUCCCUCAUCUGUUGUGUACAAAAAGGUAAGGAAAAGCACAUCUUCGACUCCACUCUCACAGAAACAACUUUCCCUCACACUGUCAGCAUUCAAAUCCCCAGCACAAAGGCAACACUUACUAGGAGGUUGAUCAAGUUUUACUAUUGAUGCUUGUAGUGCAUAAAGUGCUUGUAGUUCCUUCUCUGUGUCUGAGUCUAGGUACUUGAUUAAGAUCGGCACUCUCUGUUUGAUAACAGCAGUGUCCACACGGAAGCUAGAAGAUUCCGCUGAGGAGAAGAGAGGAAAACAGGGUCAGCUCUGGCAGACAGCACCAAGGGCAGGUCUUUUACUGAUUCAAACAGAAAUCACAGAUACAGGUUAGUGUGGGGACAAAAAGGAAGAUGAGGAACAUCAGAAGUAUUUCUUUGGCUUUUCCUGGAAGUCUUGGUUCUUCCAGUUCCCCAAAUUCAACCAGUAUCUGCAGCGACCCAGCCCUACCAGCCUGCUGCCACACGCAGAGGGAUUCCAGCCUUACUUUGCAGCACAAAUCGUUGUGUUUCCUCAGGCAACUGGGUGUCCAAAGUGUGGGGCUAAAAUUUCAGUUAUACAGAAGGUUUGAGAAGAUUAUAUCUUAAAAUACCAAUGCAGAAACACAACUAUAAGCUGCAUGUGACAUAAGAAAUCAGGAAUACAU